rnacentral:rRNA from 1 species
GACGAACGCUGGCGGCGUGCUUAACACAUGCAAGUCGAACGGAAAGGCCCUGCUUGCAGGGUCCUCGAGUGGCGAACGGGUGAGUAACACGUGGGUGAUCUUCCCUUCACUUCGGGAUAAGCCUGGGAAACUGGGUCUAAUACCGGAUAGGAGCCAUUUUUAGUGUGAUGGUUGGAAAGUUUUUUCGGUGUAGGAUGAGCUCGCGGCCUAUCAUCUUGUUGGUGGGGUAAUGGCCUACCAAGGCGGCGACGGGUAGCCGGCCUGAGAGGGUGGACGGCCACAUUGGGACUGAGAUACGGCCCAGACUCCUACGGGAGGCAGCAGUGGGGAAUAUUGCACAAUGGGCGCAAGCCUGAUGCAGCGACGCCGCGUGGGGGAUGACGGCCUUCGGGUUGUAAACUCCGUUCGCUAGGGACGAAGCUUUUUGUGACGGUACCUAGAUAAGAAGCACCGGCUAACUACGUG